AAGCGGUGGAUGAUGUGGAUUAAUUCGAUGCAACGCGAAAAACCUUACCUACCCUUGACAUGUCUGGAACCUUGCUGAGAGGCGAGGGUGCCUUCGGGAGCCAGAACACAGGUGCUGCAUGGCUGUCGUCAGCUCAUGUCGUGAGAUGUUGGGUUAAGUCCCGCAACGAGCGCAACCCUUAUCUUUAAUUGCCAGCAUUCAGUUGGGCACUUUAAAGAGACUGCCGGUGUUAAACCGGAGGAAGGUGGGAUGACGUCAAGUCCUCAUGGCCUUUAUGCUUAGGGCUACACACGUGCUACAAUGGGUGGUACAAAGAGAAGCCAACUCGCGAGAGCGCGCCAAUCUCAAAAAGCCAUCCUCAGUUCGGAUUGGAGUCUGCAACUCGACUCCAUGAAGUUGGAAUCGCUAGUAAUCGCGGAUCAGCAUGCCGCGGUGAAUACGUUCCCGGGCCUU
rnacentral:rRNA from 1 species